rnacentral:rRNA from 1 species
AUUGAACGCUGGCGGCAGGCCUAACACAUGAAAGUCGAGCGGCAGCGGGAAAGUAGCUUGCUACUUUGGCCGGCGAGCGGCGGACGGGUGAGUAAUGCCUGGGAAAUUGCCCAGUCGCGGGGGUUAACAGUUGGAAACGACUGCUAAUCCCGCAUCCGCCCUAGGGGGGAAAGCAGGGGAACUCGGGGAUUUGCGCGUUGGGCAAUGACCAGGUGGGAUUAGCUGGUUGGUGAGGUAAUGGCUCACCAAGGCGACGAUCCCUAGCUGGUCUGAGAGGAUGUUCAGCCACACUGGAACUGAGACACGGUCCAGACUCCUACGGGAGGCAGAAGUGGGGAAUAUUGCACAAUGGGGGAAACCCUGAUGCAGCCAUGCCGCGUGUGUGAAGAAGGCCUUCGGGUUGUAAAGCACUUUCAGCGAGGAGGAAAGGUUGAUGCCUAAUACGUAUCAACUGUGACGUUACUCGCAGAAGAAGCACCGGCUAACUCCGUGCCAGCAGCCGCCGUAA